rnacentral:rRNA from 1 species
GACAGAGGGUGCAAGCGUUGUUCGGAAUAAUUGGGCGUAAAGGAUGAGUAGGCGGUUUAGUAAGUCAUUGGUAAAAUCUCCAGGCACAACCUGGAAUCGCUAGUGAUACUACUAGACUAGAGUGGGAUACAGGAAAGUGGAAUUCCUAGUUGAGAGGUGAAAUGCGUAGAUAUCGAGAGGAACACCUGCGGCGAAGGCGGGUUGCUGGGCUGACACUGACGCUGAAGCGCGAAAGCUAGGGGAGCGAACGGG